UCUCCUACGAGGGGCAGCAGUGAGGAAUAUUGGUCAAUGGUCGGGAGACUGAACCAGCCAAGCCGCGUGAGGGAUGAAGGUACAGAGUAUCGUAAACCUCUUUUGUCAGGGAACAAAGGCGGGGACGCGUCCCCGGAUGAGUGUACCUGAAGAAAAAGCAUCGGCUAACUCCGUGCCAGCAGCCGCGGUAAUACGGAGGAUUCGAGCGUUAUCCGGAUUUAUUGGGUUUAAAGGGAGCGUAGGCGGGUUGUUAAGUCAGUUGUGCAAGUUUGCGGCUCAACCGUAAAAUU
rnacentral:rRNA from 1 species